rnacentral:rRNA from 1 species
GACGAACGCUGGCGGCGUGCCCAAUACAUGCAAGUUGAGCGCUGAAGGUUGGUACUUGUACCGACUGGAUGAGCAGCGAACGGGUGAGUAACGCGUGGGGAAUCUGCCUUUGAGCGGGGGACAACAUUUGGAAACGAAUGCUAAUACCGCAUAAAAACUUUAAACACAAGUUUUAAGUUUGAAAGAUGCAAUUGCAUCACUCAAAGAUGAUCCCGCGUUGUAUUAGCUAGUUGGUGAGGUAAAGGCUCGCCAAGGCGAUGAUACAUAGCCGACCUGAGAGGGUGAUCGGCCACAUUGGGACUGAGACACGGCCCAAACUCCUACGGGAGGCAGCAGUAGGGAAUCUUCGGCAAUGGACGAAAGUCUGACCGAGCAACGCCGCGUGAGUGAAGAAGGUUUUCGGAUCGUAAAACUCUGUUGGUAGAGAAGAACGUUGGUGAGAGUGGAAAGCUCAUCAAGUGACGGUAACUACCCAGAAAGGGACGGCUAACUACGUG